CAGUGACCUGUUCCCAGACCCGGCAGCCCGGAAGCCUCAGCUGACUGACUGGGCGCCAUGGCAACCCGGCCGCGCUUCUCGCGGAGACCUCCAACCUCAGGGGCGUCCCUGACGUGGUGGAGUCGCCUGUCCCUUCCGGAUCUCAGCUGCCUUAUCUGGAACGCCCACUUGGCGGACUCCUGGAUCCAGCGAGAUCUCAAAAGGUUUUGGAAAUAGUGCAAGUCUCUAGAAAUGCCAGCUCUGGACCCCUAGGAACCAGAGGGUCAGACAGAAUCAAGAGGAGGCACCUUCGGGUAACAUCCAUCUUACUGGAAGAUGGGAUCUCGCUCUGUCACC